rnacentral:rRNA from 1 species
GGGGAAUAUUGGACAAUGGGCGCAAGCCUGAUCCAGCAAUGCCGCGUGUGUGAAGAAGGCCUUCGGGUUGUAAAGCACUUUUAUCAGGAACGAAAAGCGUUGGAUUAAUACUCUGACGUGCUGACGGUACCUGAGGAAUAAGCACCGGCUAACUUCGUGCCAGCAGCUGCGGUAAUACGAAGGGUGCAAGCGUUAAUCGGAAUUACUGGGCGUAAAGCGUGCGUAGAUGGUUCGCUAAGUCGGAUGUGAAAGCCCCGGGCUCAACCUGGGAACUGCAUCCGAUACUGGCGGACUAGAGUGUGAUAGAGGAUGGCGGAAUUCCCGGUGUAGCGGUGAAAUGCGUAGAGAUCGGGAGGAACAUCCGGGGCGAAGGCGGCCAUCUGGAUCAACACUGACGUUGAGGCACGAAAGCGUGGGGAGCAAAC